GACGAACGCUGGCGGCGUGCCUAAUACAUGCAAGUAGAACGCUGAAGGAGGAGCUUGCUUCUCUGGAUGAGUUGCGAACGGGUGAGUAACGCGUAGGUAACCUGCCUGGUAGCGGGGGAUAACUAUUGGAAACGAUAGCUAAUACCGCAUAAGAGUGGAUGUUGCAUGACAUUUGCUUAAAAGGUACACUUGCAUCACUACCAGAUGGACCUGCGUUGUAUUAGCUAGUUGGUGGGGUAACGGCUCACCAAGGCGACGAUACAUAGCCGACCUGAGAGGGUGAUCGGCCACACUGGGACUGAGACACGGCCCAGACUCCUACGGGAGGCAGCAGUAGGGAAUCUUCGGCAAUGGACGGAAGUCUGACCGAGCAACGCCGCGUGAGUGAAGAAGGUUUUCGGAUCGUAAAGCUCUGUUGUAAGAGAAGAACGAGUGUGAGAGUGGAAAGUUCACA
rnacentral:rRNA from 1 species